AGUGAGAUGUAGGGGAAGCGCUAUGCUAAUAUAGGGUUCAGUUAGGCUUGACUACUACAAUAUUUUUUAUUGCGAUACCAAGGCAGGUUUUUCAAUGCCUCAGAUGAAAGGUCAUAGUUAAUAUGACCUUUUCCGAGGCAAUUUGUUGCCCACCUCAGUAAAUGAAAUAAAAAAAUAAAAGAAAAAGAAAAAGCCAACCAAGCCUAUCAUGGGCCCACCGAUCCCAUCCACGCCCUCGCCACCGCUGCCGCUUGCUGGAUCUAACCGCCCCGUGCUACGGUAGGAAGGAGAGGGGGAGCGUAGUGCUAAGGGAUGAAGGAAAGGAGGGUGACAUGCUGAGGGAGGGGCACCACUGCCGAAGGGGACCGUGUGCGGGAGGGGCAACUCACGGGGAGUAGAUCUGCCAUGACACCAAAAUCCGCCACCACACCACCUUGGAUUUGGCUGCACUACGCCUUGGAUGUGGCUGGAGAAGACCGUUGCGCCACCAACGAGGCUUCCCCAUGCACCUUGUCGUGUCCUGUCCACCACUGG
rnacentral:lncRNA from 1 species